GUUGGAUAAAUGAAUAAAUUGCAGGUUUAGGUUGAAAAAAUUAAUAAAUAUCACGUUUGGGCUGGAUAAAUUAAUAAAGGACAGAUUCAGGCUGGAUAAAUUAAUAAAAAAGAGGUUUGGGUUGGUUAAAUUAAUAAAGAACAUGUAUAGGUUGGAUAAAUUAAUAAACAGGAAAUUCAGGCUGGAUAAAUUAAUAAAUAACAGGUUUGGGUUGGAUAAAUUAAUAAG